rnacentral:sRNA from 1 species
AUUCUGCCCACGCGGGGAAGGAUGAGAAGCUUCGACCAAGGUUCGACUUGAGCGCCAGCGAGAGAGCGUUGCCGCAGGCAACGACCCGAAGGGCGAAGCGCGCAGCGCUGAGUAAUCCUUCCCCCACCACCA